CGUAUGGUUGAACCAAGAAUUUAAGUGUCAUGGCACAAGAUUAUGCUGAAAAUUUGCUGACAUAGUACAGUACGGUGCGUAUUAGGCAGUGCCGAUACUUGUCGGUCACAAAAAUAUGUGUAUGCCAAUACGUAAUGACAUGAAAUAUUUAUUUUUUUUAGCAACAAAAUAUGUUAAUUAUUUAUUAUGUAUUUUUAUCAAAUUUUUUGAAUUUUAUUAAAAAAAUUACUUACUAAUUUAAAAAAUAGAGGGUUUUGAGUUAUGUCAUCGACAUGGGAGCUGUAUCGUGCCGUUAUUUUGCUGGCAUAAUACGACACAGUGGAUACAGUCCGUGCCAACGGGCACUUUGAUCUUGAAUCGAACAAACCAAGAUGUUGAAAAGAAAGUUUCCAUAAAAACUGCUGCACUAUUAGGUCAUUGGGUGGAAAACUCUCGGGUAUAAGCAAGAGCUAGUUAUUACAGGAAUAGGUACAAGUAUGGGGAUAAGAAAAAUAUUGUUUGGAUGAAAAUUGGGUUAUUCCCGGGAAUGAGAACAAUUAUAGAUAAUUUUAUAUAAAAAAUGAAGGUGUUGGUGGGGAUAACCGAGAACUACUAUUCUCGGGUAAAAAAUUAGCGUUUGGGUAUAAAGGGGGGAUAAGGGCCUAUUCCUAUCCCUAUCCCCUAAUCAAACGCUGCCCUAGCUAGAAGAUUGAGACAAGAUACUAAAAUCUCCUACAGGGAUUUUAUUUGUUGGCUAAAUUUUAAAAAACUUCUCUCAGCACUUUUGACAAUGUAAAUUUUUAUCUUAUUUUUACAUUAAUAGACCUAGUUUAGGAACUUUGUGGCUAAAAUUAUUCACUUUCAUAUUUUGAAAGCCUAACAAAUUCCAAAAGUACUUUUAGAUUUUAUUUAUUUAUUUAUUUAUUGUUUAUUUAUUUAUUUAUUAUUUUUAUAAGACCGAGUCUUCCAUUUAGG
rnacentral:lncRNA from 1 species